rnacentral:rRNA from 1 species
GACGAACGCUGGCGGCGUGCUUAACACAUGCAAGUCGAACGGAAAGGCCCUGCUUUUGUGGGGUGCUCGAGUGGCGAACGGGUGAGUAACACGUGAGUAACCUGCCCUUGACUUUGGGAUAACUUCAGGAAACUGGGGCUAAUACCGGAUAGGAGCUCCUGCUGCAUGGUGGGGGUUGGAAAGUUUCGGCGGUUGGGGAUGGACUCGCGGCUUAUCAGCUUGUUGGUGGGGUAGUGGCUUACCAAGGCUUUGACGGGUAGCCGGCCUGAGAGGGUGACCGGCCACAUUGGGACUGAGAUACGGCCCAGACUCCUACGGGAGGCAGCAGUGGGGAGUAUUGCACAAUGGGCGGAAGCCUGAUGCAGAAACGCCGCGUGCGGGAUGACGGGCUUCGGGUUGUAAACCGCUUUCGCCUGUGACGAAGCGUGAGUGACGGUAAUGGGUAAAGAAGCACCGGCUAACUACGUG